UGACGCUAAAGCUCGAAGGUGCGGGUAUCGAACAGGAUUAGAUACCCUGGUAGUCCGCACGGUAAACGAUGGAUGCCCGCUGUUUGCGAUAUACUGUGAGCGGCCAAGAGAAAUCGUUAAGCAUCCCACCUGGGGAGUACGCCGGCAACGGUGAAACUCAAAGGAAUUGACGGGGGCCCGCACAAGCGGAGGAACAUGUGGUUUAAUUCGAUGAUACGCGAGGAACCUUACCCGGGCUUGAACUGCAGGAGAAGGAUACAGAGAUGUUGACGCCCUUCGGGGCUCCUGUGGAGGUGCUGCAUGGUUGUCGUCAGCUCGUGCCGUGAGGUGUCGGCUUAAGUGCCAUAACGAGCGCAACCCUUUUCUUCAGUUGCCAUCAGGUUAAGCUGGGCACUCUGGAGACACUGCCACCGUAAGGUGUGAGGAAGGUGGGGAUGACGUCAAAUCAGCACGGCCCUUACGUCCGGGGCUACACACGUGUUACAAUGGGUGGUACAGAGAGUCGGUCGUCUGCAAAUGCGAUCCAAUCCUUAAAGCCAUCCUCAGUUCGGAUUGGGGUCUGCAACCCGACCCCAUGAAGCUGGAUUCGCUAGUAAUCGCG
rnacentral:rRNA from 1 species